GGCGAUAUAGCUCAGCUGGUUAGAGCGAGGGAUUCAUAAACCCUAGGUCGGUGGUUCGAGUCCACCUAUCGCCA
rnacentral:tRNA from 1 species